rnacentral:rRNA from 1 species
AAAUUGAAGAGUUUGAUCAUGGCUCAGAUUGAACGCUGGCGGCAGGCCUAACACAUGCAAGUCGAACGGUAACAGGAAGCAGCUUGCUGCUUCGCUGACGAGUGGCGGACGGGUGAGUAAUGUCUGGGAAACUGCCUGAUGGAGGGGGAUAACUACUGGAAACGGUGGCUAAUACCGCAUAACGUCGCAAGACCAAAGAGGGGGACCUUCGGGCCUCUUGCCAUCAGAUGUGCCCAGAUGGGAUUAGCUUGUUGGUGAGGUAACGGCUCACCAAGGCGACGAUCCCUAGCUGGUCUGAGAGGAUGACCAGCCACACUGGAACUGAGACACGGUCCAGACUCCUACGGGAUGCAGCAGUGGGGACUCUUGCACAAUGGGCGCAAGCCUGAUGCAGCCAUGCCGCGUGUAUGAAGAAGGCCUUCGGGUUGUAAAGUACUUUCAGCGGGGA